UACGUAGGGUGCAAGCGUUGUCCGGAAUUAUUGGGCGUAAAGAGCUUGUAGGCGGCUUGUCGCGUCUGCUGUGAAAUUUCGGGGCUCAACCCCGAACUUGCAGUGGGUACGGGCAGACUAGAGUGUGGUAGGGGAGACUGGAAUUCCUGGUGUAGCGGUGGAAUGCGCAGAUAUCAGGAGGAACACCAAUAGCGAAGGCAGCUCGCUGGGACGGUAUUGACGCUAAGGCGCGAAAGCGUGGGGAGCAAACAGG
rnacentral:rRNA from 1 species